rnacentral:rRNA from 1 species
CAGUAGCCACGGUAAUACGUAGGUGGCAAGCGUUGUCCGGAAUUACUGGGCGUAAAGCGUGCGCAGGCGGUUCGUUAAGACAGAUGUGAAAUCCCCGGGCUUAACCUGGGAACUGCAUUUGUGACUGGCGAGCUAGAGUAUGGCAGAGGGGGGUAGAAUUCCACGUGUAGCAGUGAAAUGCGUAGAGAUGUGGAGGAAUACCGAUGGCGAAGGCAGCCCCCUGGGCCAAUACUGACGCUCAUGCACGAAAGCGUGGGGAGCAAACAGGAUUAGAUACCCCGGUAGUCCCUGUCUCUUAUAC